UACAGUACAAUAUACGCAUAAGGUUAGUAAAGUUUAAGGCGGUUAGCAAUCUCUUAUUUUGGAGAUGGUGCCUAUGAGUGUAAAAACUUGGCAACGCAUUUCUAAGAAAGGAUAUUGCAAAAUGUCUGUUUAUGAGGCACUAAGCUUAAUGAUUGCUUUUGCAACGUUAAUCGUGCUAGUGAACAAUAAUAA
rnacentral:sRNA from 1 species